rnacentral:rRNA from 1 species
UGGGAACGUACCCUUUGGUUCGGAACAACCAGGGAAACUUGGGCUAAUACCGGAUAAGUCCGUAAGGAGAAAGAUUUAUCGCCAAAGGAUCGGCCCGCGUCUGAUUAGCUAGUUGGUAGGGUAAUGGCUACCAAGGCUACGAUCAGUAGCUGGUCUGAGAGGAUGAUCAGCCACAUUGGGACUGAGACACGGCCCAAACUCCUACGGGAGGCAG